ACCUCCUCCCACCUGUUCCAUGCCGCCUCUCUCGUAGCACCGCCAUCUCUGGUUCCCAACCCUCUUCUCAGGUGGUCGCCCUCUCCCAUUAAAUCGCCGCUGGUCCUCCUCACGGGCGCCAACAAUUUCUUUUGUGCCUUGCCCCUAUCGACGAUAGCUGGCUGCUGCACAUCUAGCAUUUGAUUGCUGCUGUCCUCCUUCAUCGAUUGGGCUGCGGGAUACUUCAGGGAAAAAAGGCAGCAAGGAGAAGGGAGAGCAGAAAUUAGGAAGGGAUCAUCGGGAGGAAGGCUGCCUGCAAAAUCGCCGGACGUAACAUCAACGUAGCCGUUAUGCAGAGCAUGGUUCUUGGAUGUAAUACUCACUGUCCCGGACAGCAGCGGUGGCCAGGCCUGCUGCACGCCCGUGGCAGCUGCAGCAGCCUGCCUGCCAGGGCGGCGGUGGCCAUCCUGGCGGCCUGCCAAGGGCGGCGGCCAACCAGCCAGCCUGCUAGGCAGGGGCGGCAGCAGUGCCUGCCCCGGCGAUGGCGGUCGCAGCCAGCCUGACUGCCCAUGAAAGCUCCGGCCGUCGUGUUCUAAAUCCAUGACUUCCAAAAGGAGGCGCCCUGCAGGACUGGGAACCAGUGAGCCAAUUCAGGUGAAAAAGAGGCGUCCUGCAGGACUGGGAAGCAGUAAGCCAAUUCCGGCCUGCAACAAAAAGAAGGUGGUGUUCUGUGUGGACUCAUCCUCAUCUGAUGAGGCAUGUGCAUCCAUCGCCAAAAAGAUGCACAAGGGAAGGAGCCUCGAAGGCACAGAUCAGGGAACCUCUCACCAAAAAAGAGCUAAUGUGUUUUAGAUCUGCUCCAAAGUGAAGGUGUUCACCUAUGCGGCUAAGAAGAAUAAAUGAAGUGCAGUUUAGGGUGUCCCUGUGUGGACAUAUCUAACUAGUUGUGGACUUUGGUUAGUUGUCAUGACAUGUGGUCAGUUCUGUAAAUAUCUAUCUCUAUAUAUGUUUGUAUGGUCAUAGAGGUCUCUAGCUAUGUAUGCCCGUGCAUUGCUUGCAUGCACUGUUUGCUUAAGAAAUAUGCAAUGCAGGUUCUUAAUUCAUCUUCAA